rnacentral:lncRNA from 1 species
GGCGAUCUGGGAUGUAGGCCUUCUUCUCUAAGGCUUCUCCUUCUGGAUCAGAGAGGUGACUCGGAAGCCUGUUACCUCUUCUCCAUCUGCAUCUGCAGGCUGAGUGAUGUGAAGCUGGCCAGGAGGUCUGUAACCUCAUCCACCUGCUCCUUUGUGCUGGUCAUCUGUAGCUUAGAGCAGAGGUCAUCCAGCUGUUCCUUUUGCUCAUGCCUCCCCAGACGGUCCAGGUAUUCCCGCAACAUCUGGAUAAUCUGUUUCACUUCAAGGCGUACUGCCUCCAGGCUGUGGGAGAUUCCUUCCUGUAAGAUGUUUAGCUUCGACUUCGCGAGGUGCAGUGGGGUUCUGCCAGCUCGAUCCAAGGCAUCGACUCUGGCCCCUCCGCGCAGCAGCGUGGUGAUGACAGGAACAUGGUUCGUGCAGGCAGCCAAGUGUAAGGGAGUGUUUCCCAGCCCGUCUCUUUGAUUUGGGUCAGCCCCGUGAUCCAGAAGCAGUUGCACAAUGUGAUCGUUGCCAUUGCAGGAGGCGAAGUGGAGGGCUGUCCGGCCUUUGUCAUCUGCAGCACAGGGGUCAGUUCCAUCCUCCAGGAGUUGCUGCACUGUGUCCAGGUCGUUGCCAUUGGCAGCCUCACGCAGCCUCUUCAGAGCGUGGCUCUCCUUGCCCGUAGGCCCCAGGCGGCGGUGGAGGCGGGCGGCCCUGCGCAGGCGGCGGGCCGGGAUCUUGCCGGCGGGCUCCUCCCGCUGCCACAGGACGUGCAGGUAGCCGAGGGGGGCUCCCACCGCCCCUCCGAGCGCCACCCCGGCUCCCAGAGCCGGCUCCGACUCCGUCCCCGCAGCGGACUCGGCCGCGGCCCCGCCACCGCCCUCCAUUCCCUCACGGGCCGGGCCGGGCCGGGCCGCACA